rnacentral:rRNA from 1 species
UAGGGAAUCUUCGGCAAUGGGGGCAACCCUGACCGAGCAACGCCGCGUGAGUGAAGAAGGUUUUCGGAUCGUAAAGCUCUGUUGUAAGAGAAGAACGUGUGUGAGAGUGGAAAGUUCACACAGUGACGGUAACUUACCAGAAAGGGACGGCUAACUACGUGCCAGCAGCCGCGGUAAUACGUAGGUCCCGAGCGUUGUCCGGAUUUAUUGGGCGUAAAGCGAGCGCAGGCGGUUUAAUAAGUCUGAAGUUAAAGGCAGUGGCUUAACCAUUGUUCGCUUUGGAAACUGGUUAACUUGAGUGCAGAAGGGGAAGGUGGAAUUCCAUGUGUAGCGGUGAAAUGCGUAGAUAUAUGGAGGAACACCGGUGGCGAAAGCGGCUCUCUGGUCUGUAACUGACGCUGAGGCUCGAAAGCGUGGGGAGCAAACAGG